rnacentral:rRNA from 1 species
GAGGAAGGUGGGGAUGACGUCAAGUCCUCAUGGCCCUUAUGUCCUGGGCUACACACGUGCUACAAUGGCGGUGACAGUGGGAAGCCAGGCAGCGAUGCCGAGCUGAUCCUCAAAAGCCGUCUCAGUUCGGAUUGUACUCUGCAACUCGGGUGCAUGAAGGUGGAAUCGCUAGUAAUCGUGGAUCAGCAUGCCACGGUGAAUACGUUCCCGGGCCUUGUACACACCGCCCGUCACACCAUGGGAUUUGGUUUGACCUUAAGUUGGUGCGCUAACCGCAAGGAGGCAGCCAACCACGGUCGGGUUAGAGACUGGGGUGAAGUCGUAACAAGGUAGCCGUAA